CUCUCUUGUGAUGUUCAAAUUCUCCAAACGUUCUGUAACUACAACGAUACCCACCUGGCUGGAAGAUCUUGGAAGCAUAUUAGAUCAAUCUGACAACGGGAAGGUGCUUAAAUUUCAAUUUCUAAUUUUGACCCAAAUAAAUAAAAAACAAAUUCCG